rnacentral:tRNA from 1 species
GCAAAGUUAGCUCAAUGGUAGAGCAACAGACUCAUAAUCUGUGUGGCACAGGUUCAAAUCCUGUACUUUACUCCA